rnacentral:rRNA from 1 species
CCCUAGAGCGGCGGACUGGUGAGUACACGUGGAUGAUCUACCCGAGGCAUGGGGAUAGUCACUAGAAAUAGUGGGUAAUACCGAAUACGGUGCGCAUCGUGGGGGUGCGCAAGAAAGGUGCUACGGCACCGGCCUAGGAUGAGUCUGCGUCCCAUUAGCUGGUUGGUGAGGUAAGAGCCCACCAAGGCGAUGAUGGGUAGCCGGCCUGAGAGGGUGUACGGCCACACUGGGACUGAGAUACGGCCCAGACUCCUACGGGAGGCAGCAGCUAAGAAUAUUCCGCAAUGGACGAAAGUCUGACGGAGCGACGCCGCGUGGAUGAAGAAGGCCGAAAGGUUGUAAAGUUCUUUUGUUGGGGAAGAAUAACCAUGGGAGGGAAUGCCCGUGGGAUGACAUGAACCGACGAAUAAGCCCCGGCUAACUACGUGCCAGCAGCCGCGGUAACACGUAGGGGGCGAGCGUUGUUCGGAAUUACUGGGCGUAAAGGGCAUGUAGGCGGUCUUGUAAGCUUGGCGUGAAAGACCACGGCUCAACCGUGGGAUUGCGUUGAGAACUGCGAGGCUCGAGUGACGGAGAGGGAGCUAGAAUUCCUGGUGUAGGGGUGGAAUCUGUAGAGAUCAGGAAGAAUACCAAUGGCGAAGGCAAGCUCCUGGCCGAUGACUGACGCUGAGGUGCGAAAGUGUGGGGAUCAAACAGGAUUAGAUACCCUGGUAGUCCACACUGUAAACGAUGUGCACUAGGUGCUGGUACGGAUGUAUCAGUGCCGUAGCUAACGUGAUAAGUGCACCGCCUGGGGAGUAUGCUCGCAAGGGUGAAACUCAAAGGAAUUGACGGGGGCCCGCACAAGCGGUGGAGCAUGUGGUUUAAUUCGAUGGUACGCGAGGAACCUUACCUGGGUUUGAC